AAUUUUGGAGAUCUUCAGGGAUCAAUUUUAUAGUCUGUGAUUAGAAAAGUUACUCUGAAUGUAUAGAGUGCCAGAAACCAUGAGGAAGAUUUACCAUAUUCUCUCCUGAACAUGAAACCAACUCUUGCCUUGCUGCACCCGCCAUUUGCCAUUGAUGAUUAUUCUUCUCUUUGGGAGAGUAAGAGGGAGAGGACACAGUCUCUGUGGU